CAGGCCUAACACAUGCAAGUCGAACGGCAGCACAGGAGAGCUUGCUCUCUGGGUGGCGAGUGGCGGACGGGUGAGGAAUACAUCGGAAUCUACCUUUUCGUGGGGGAUAACGUAGGGAAACUUACGCUAAUACCGCAUACGUCCUACGGGAGAAAGCAGGGGACCUUCGGGCCUUGCGCUAUCAGAUGAGCCUAGGUCGGAUUAGCUAGUUGGUGAGGUAAUGGCUCACCAAGGCGACGAUCCGUAACUGGUCUGAGAGGAUGAUCAGUCACACUGGAACUGAGACACGGUCCAGACUCCUACGGGAGGCAGCAGUGGGGAAUAUUGGACAAUGGGCGAAAGCCUGAUCCAGCCAUGCCGCGUGUGUGAAGAAGGUCUUCGGAUUGUAAAGCACUUUAAGUUGGGAGGAAGGGCAGUAAGCUAAUACCUUGCUGUUUUGACGUUACCGACAGAAUAAGCACCGGCUAACUCUGUGCCAGCAGCCGCGGUAAU
rnacentral:rRNA from 1 species